AGUAACACGUGAGCAACCUGCCUUUCAGAGGGGGAUAACAGUUGGAAACGACUGCUAAUACCGCAUAACGCUGCGAUGGGGCAUCCCGAUGCAGCCAAAGGAGCAAUCCGCUGGAAGAUGGGCUCGCGGCCGAUUAGCUAGUUGGUGGGGUAACGGCCCACCAAGGCGACGAUCGGUAGCCGGACUGAGAGGUUGAUCGGCCACAUUGGGACUGAGACACGGCCCAGACUCCUACGGGAGGCAGCAG
rnacentral:rRNA from 1 species